GACGGACGCUGGCGGCGUGCUUAACACAUGCAAGUCGAGCGGUAAGGCCCUUUCGGGGGUACGACGAGCGGCGAACGGGUGAGUAACACGUGGGUGACCUGCCCUCAGCUCUGGGAUAAGCCUGGGAAACUGGGUCUAAUACUGGAUAUGACUCCACGGUGCAUGUCGUGGGGUGGAAAGCCUUGUGCGGCUGAGGAUGGGCCCGCGGCCUAUCAGCUUGUUGGUGGGGUGANGGCCUACCAAGGCGACGACGGGUAGCCGGCCUGAGAGGGCGACCGGCCACACUGGGACUGAGACACGGCCCAGACUCCUACGGGAGGCAGCAGUGGGGAAUCUUGCGCAAUGGGCGAAAGCCUGACGCAGCGACGCCGCGUGAGGGAUGACGGCCUCGGUUGUAA
rnacentral:rRNA from 1 species